UACGUAGGGUGCGGGCGUUGUCCGGAAUUAUUGGGCGUAAAGAGCUCGUAGGCGGUGUGUCACGUCGGCCGUGAAAACCUGGGGCUUAACUCUGGGCGUGCGGUCGAUACGGGCAUCACUAGAGUUCGGCAGGGGAGACUGGAAUUCCUGGUGUAGCGGUGAAAUGCGCAGAUAUCAGGAGGAACACCGGUGGCGAAGGCGGGUCUCUGGGCCGAUACUGACGCUGAGGAGCGAAAGCAUGGGGAGCGAACAGG
rnacentral:rRNA from 1 species